rnacentral:rRNA from 1 species
UACAGAGGGUGCGAGCGUUGUUCGGAAUUACUGGGCGUAAAGGGCGCGUAGGCGGUCAGCACAAGUCAGUUGUGAAAUCUCCGGGCUUAACCCGGAAAGGUCAACUGAUACUGUGCGACUAGAGUGCGGAAGGGGCAACUGGAAUUCUCGGUGUAGCGGUGAAAUGCGUAGAUAUCGAGAGGAACACCUGCGGCGAAGGCGGGUUGCUGGGCCGACACUGACGCUGAUGCGCGAAAGCCAGGGGAGCGAACGGG